GAUGAACGCUGGCGGCGUGCCUAACACAUGCAAGUCGAGCGAGAAAUUCAAGAUCAAAUCUUCGGAAGAGAGAAAGAAUGGAAAGCGGCGGACGGGUGAGUAACGCGUAGGUAACCUGCCCUGUACAGAGGGAUAGCCACUGGAAACGGUGAUUAAUACCUCAUAAUACCGGAAGUUCACAUGGACAAUCGGUCAAAGAUUUAUCGGUACAGGAUGGACCUGCGUCUGAUUAGUUAGUUGGUGAGGUAACGGCUCACCAAGGCGACGAUCAGUAGCCGACCUGAGAGGGUGAUCGGCCACAUUGGAACUGAGACACGGUCCAAACUCCUACGGGAGGCAGCAGUGGGGAAUAUUGCACAAUGGGGGGAACCCUGAUGCAGCAACGCCGCGUGAAUGAAGAAGGCCUUUGGGUCGUAAAGUUCUGUUCAAGGAAGAAGAAAGUGACGGUACUCAGGAGAAGCCCGG
rnacentral:rRNA from 1 species